GGUUAAGCGACUAAGCGUACACGGUGGAUGCCCUGGCAGUCAGAGGCGAUGAAGGACGUGCUAAUCUGCGAUAAGCGUCGGUGAGGUGAUAUGAACCGUUAUAACCGGCGAUUUCCGAAUGGGGAAACCCAGUGUGAUUCGUCACACUAUCAUUAACUGAAUCCAUAGGUUAAUGAGGCGAACCGGGGGAACUGAAACAUCUAAGUACCCCGAGGAAAAGAAAUCAACCGAGAUUCCCCCAGUAGCGGCGAGCGAACGGGGAGGAGCCCAGAGCCUGAAUCAGUGUGUGUGUUAGUGGAAGCGUCUGGAAAGGCGCGCGAUACAGGGUGACAGCCCCGUACACAAAAAUGCACAUACUGUGAGCUCGAUGAGUAGGGCGGGACACGUGGUAUCCUGUCUGAAUAUGGGGGGACCAUCCUCCAAGGCUAAAUACUCCUGACUGACCGAUAGUGAACCAGUACCGUGAGGGAAAGGCGAAAAGAACCCCGGCGAGGGGAGUGAAAAAGAACCUGAAACCGUGUACGUACAAGCAGUGGGAGCACAGAGCAAUCUGUGUGACUGCGUACCUUUUGUAUAAUGGGUCAGCGACUUAUAUUCUGUAGCAAGGUUAACCGAAUAGGGGAGCCGAAGGGAAACCGAGUCUUAACUGGGCGUUAAGUUGCAGGGUAUAGACCCGAAACCCGGUGAUCUAGCCAUGGGCAGGUUGAAGGUUGGGUAACACUAACUGGAGGACCGAACCGACUAAUGUUGAAAAAUUAGCGGAUGACUUGUGGCUGGGGGUGAAAGGCCAAUCAAACCGGGAGAUAGCUGGUUCUCCCCGAAAGCUAUUUAGGUAGCGCCUCGUGAAUUCAUCUCCGGGGGUAGAGCACUGUUUCGGCAAGGGGGUCAUCCCGACUUACCAACCCGAUGCAAACUGCGAAUACCGGAGAAUGUUAUCACGGGAGACACACGGCGGGUGCUAACGUCCGUCGUGAAGAGGGAAACAACCCAGACCGCCAGCUAAGGUCCCAAAGUCAUGGUUAAGUGGGAAACGAUGUGGGAAGGCCCAGACAGCCAGGAUGUUGGCUUAGAAGCAGCCAUCAUUUAAAGAAAGCGUAAUAGCUCACUGGUCGAGUCGGCCUGCGCGGAAGAUGUAACGGGGCUAAACCAUGCACCGAAGCUGCGGCAGCGACGCUUAUGCGUUGUUGGGUAGGGGAGCGUUCUGUAAGCCUGUGAAGGUGUGCUGUGAGGCAUGCUGGAGGUAUCAGAAGUGCGAAUGCUGACAUAAGUAACGAUAAAGCGGGUGAAAAGCCCGCUCGCCGGAAGACCAAGGGUUCCUGUCCAACGUUAAUCGGGGCAGGGUGAGUCGACCCCUAAGGCGAGGCCGAAAGGCGUAGUCGAUGGGAAACAGGUUAAUAUUCCUGUACUUGGUGUUACUGCGAAGGGGGGACGGAGAAGGCUAUGUUGGCCGGGCGACGGUUGUCCCGGUUUAAGCGUGUAGGCUGGUUUUCCAGGCAAAUCCGGAAAAUCAAGGCUGAGGCGUGAUGACGAGGCACUACGGUGCUGAAGCAACAAAUGCCCUGCUUCCAGGAAAAGCCUCUAAGCAUCAGGUAACAUCAAAUCGUACCCCAAACCGACACAGGUGGUCAGGUAGAGAAUACCAAGGCGCUUGAGAGAACUCGGGUGAAGGAACUAGGCAAAAUGGUGCCGUAACUUCGGGAGAAGGCACGCUGAUAUGUAGGUGAGGUCCCUCGCGGAUGGAGCUGAAAUCAGUCGAAGAUACCAGCUGGCUGCAACUGUUUAUUAAAAACACAGCACUGUGCAAACACGAAAGUGGACGUAUACGGUGUGACGCCUGCCCGGUGCCGGAAGGUUAAUUGAUGGGGUUAGCGGUAACGCGAAGCUCUUGAUCGAAGCCCCGGUAAACGGCGGCCGUAACUAUAACGGUCCUAAGGUAGCGAAAUUCCUUGUCGGGUAAGUUCCGACCUGCACGAAUGGCGUAAUGAUGGCCAGGCUGUCUCCACCCGAGACUCAGUGAAAUUGAACUCGCUGUGAAGAUGCAGUGUACCCGCGGCAAGACGGAAAGACCCCGUGAACCUUUACUAUAGCUUGACACUGAACAUUGAGCCUUGAUGUGUAGGAUAGGUGGGAGGCUUUGAAGUGUGGACGCCAGUCUGCAUGGAGCCGGCCUUGAAAUACCACCCUUUAAUGUUUGAUGUUCUAACGUUGGCCCCUGAUCGGGGUUGCGGACAGUGUCUGGUGGGUAGUUUGACUGGGGCGGUCUCCUCCUAAAGAGUAACGGAGGAGCACGAAGGUUGGCUAAUCCUGGUCGGACAUCAGGAGGUUAGUGCAAUGGCAUAAGCCAGCUUGACUGCGAGCGUGACGGCGCGAGCAGGUGCGAAAGCAGGUCAUAGUGAUCCGGUGGUUCUGAAUGGAAGGGCCAUCGCUCAACGGAUAAAAGGUACUCCGGGGAUAACAGGCUGAUACCGCCCAAGAGUUCAUAUCGACGGCGGUGUUUGGCACCUCGAUGUCGGCUCAUCACAUCCUGGGGCUGAAGUAGGUCCCAAGGGUAUGGCUGUUCGCCAUUUAAAGUGGUACGCGAGCUGGGUUUAGAACGUCGUGAGACAGUUCGGUCCCUAUCUGCCGUGGGCGCUGGAGAACUGAGGGGGGCUGCUCCUAGUACGAGAGGACCGGAGUGGACGCAUCACUGGUGUUCGGGUUGUCAUGCCAAUGGCACUGCCCGGUAGCUAAAUGCGGAAGAGAUAAGUGCUGAAAGCAUCUAAGCACGAAACUUGCCCCGAGAUGAGUUCUCCCUGACUCCUUGAGAGUCCUGAAGGAACGUUGAAGACGACGACGUUGAUAGGCCGGGUGUGUAAGCGCAGCGAUGCGUUGAGCUAACCGGUACUAAUGAACCGUGAGGCUUAACCUU
rnacentral:rRNA from 1 species